UACGUAGGGGGCUAGCGUUGUCCGGAAUCAUUGGGCGUAAAGAGCGCGUAGGCGGCCAGAUAAGUCCGGUGUGAAAGUCCAAGGCUCAACCUUUGAAUGCCGCUGGAAACUGUCUGGCUAGAGUCCGGGAGGGGCGAGUGGAAUUCCUGGUGUAGCGGUGAAAUGCGCAGAUAUCAGGAAGAACACCAAUGGCGAAAGCAGCUCUCUGGGACGGUACUGACGCUGAGACGCGAAAGCGUGGGGAGCGAACAGG
rnacentral:rRNA from 1 species